CAUAGCGAGGAAAAGAAACUAACAAGGAUUCCCCUAGUAACUGCGAGUGAAGAGGGAAGAGCUCAAAUUUGUAAUCUGGCAGUCCUUGGCUGUCCGAGUUGUAAUCUAGAGAAGUGCUACCCGUGCUGGACCGUGUACAAGUCUCCUGGAAUGGAGCAUCAUAGAGGGUGAGAAUCCCGUCUUUGACAUGGACUGCCAGUGCUUCUGUGGUGUGCUCUCAAAGAGUCGAGUUGUUUGGGAAUGCAGCUCUAAAUGGGUGGUAAAUGCCAUCUAAAGCUAAAUAUUGGCGAGAGACCGAUAGCGAACAAGUACCGUGAGGGAAAGAUGAAAAGAACUUUGGAAAGAGAGUUAAACAGUACGUGAAAUUGCUGAAAGGGAAACGCUUGAAGUCAGUCGCAUCAGCUGGAAAUCAACCUUGCUUCUGCUGGGUGUACUUUCCAUCUGAUGGGUCAGCAUCAAUUUCGAUUGCUGGAUAAAGUUCUUGGGAAUGUGGCAUCUUCGGAUGUGUUAUAGCCCUUGGAUGGAUACAGUGACUGGGAUUGAGGAACUCAGCAUGCCACAAUGGCUGGGCCUUUUGGCUACACCACAUGCUUAGGAUGCUGGCAUAAUGGCUUUAAUCGACCCGUCUUGAAACACGGACCAAGGAGUCUAACAUGCCUGCGAGUGUUUGGGUGGAAAACCCAUGCGCGCAAUGAAAGUGAUGGUUGAGAUCCCUGUCAUGGGGAGCAUCGACGCCCAGACCAGACCUUUUGUGACGGAUCUGCGGUCAAGCAUGUAUGUUGGGACCCGAAAGAUGGUGAACUAUGCCUGAAUAGGGUGAAGCCAGAGGAAACUCUGGUGGAGGCUCGUAGCGAUUCUGACGUGCAAAUCGAUCGUCAAAUUUGGGUAUAGGGGCGAAAGACUAAUCGAACCAUCUA
rnacentral:rRNA from 1 species